AUGGCACCUCAGCGGCAGCAGCAGCAGCACAAGGCCGCCGUGGUCGCGCUCUUCCUGCUGUCCGCCCUCGUGGCCGCGCCCGCCGUUGCUGCUUCCAGGCCCGAAUCCGGCGGCUACGCACCCGCCACGCCCUCCGAGGCCGCGACGCCGGCCGAGCCCGCCGCCAGCACGCCCUCCAAGAAGGCGGCAGGCUACACUGACUCUACGCCGGCCGAGUCCUCAGCCAGCACGCCCGCCGAGGCGGCGACGCCCGCCAAGAAGGCGGGAGGCUACACUGACUCUACACUGGCCGACUCCUCAGCCAGCACGCCCAUCGAGGCGGCGACGCCGACCAAGGCCGCCGCCAGCACGCCCGCUGAGGGGGGGACGCCGACCGAGGCCGCCGCCAGCGCGCCCGCCGAGGCGGGGACGCCGACCGAGGCCGCCGCCAGCACUCCCGCUGAGGGGGGAACGCCCGACAAGGCCGCGGCGGGCUACACUGACACUACGCCGGCCGAGCAGCCCGCCGCCGAUGGCACUAAGGUCAAGGUGCCGCCCGGGGAGGGGAAGGCGACGACGCCCGAGCAGAAGUUCAUCGAGAAGGUGAACCAAGCGUUCAAGAAGGCUCUGGACGCGGCCAACGCGGCGGCGCCCGACGACAAGUUUUCGGUGUUCGACGCCGCCUUCAACAGGGAGAUCAAGCAGUGCCUCGCCGGCAUGAGUGCCAAAUUCAUCUCCAUGAUCGACCGCGCCUUCAAGAUAGCGUACAACUCCGCCGUCGCCGCCACCAACGCGCAGGAAAAGUUCUCCUGCUUGGUGCUCACCCUCACGGAGGCCCUCCGCUUCAUUGCCGCCACCCUGGACGCCCACGCCAUCAAGCCAGCAAUCGAGGAGGUGGUUGCCGGAGGCAUGAAGGCCGCGGACGGCGCGACGCAGGUCAUCAAGAAGCUCGACACGAUCAUCAAGGCAGCCUCCGCUGCUGCCAAAGAAGCUCCGAAAGCCGACAGGAUCCUCGUGUUCCAAGCCGCCCUCAACAAGGCCAUCAAGGAGCAGAUGGGCCCCGGCUACGACGGGAGCAAGACGACCUCCGAUCUCGACGCGGCGUUCAAAAAGGCCGUCGAAUCCGCCGCCACCUCCAAGCCGGAGGCUAAGGACACCGACGUGGCGGACGCCUUGGCGAAGUCCAUCACCACCAUUGCCAAUGCCACCAAGGAUGGCGCCGAAACUGCUGCCGCGCCCGCCGCAGAAGCCGGUACCAAGACUGCAGCUGCCGACGCCGGCUACAAGGCCGCCGACAAAUCCGCUGCCGAGCCCGCUGCCGCGCCAGCUGCCGAAGCCGCCGACAAAUCCGCUGCCGAGCCCGCUGCCGUGCCAGCUGCCGAAGCCGCCGACAAAUCCGCUGCCGAGCCCGCUGCCGCGCCAGCUGCCGAAGCCGCAACCGCGCCCGCUGCCGAAGCCGCUACCAAGCCCGCGGCUGAUGAAUCCGGUUACAAGGCCAAGGCCAAGGCCAAGGCCAAGGCCGAAGCCGCUCCCGAGCCCGCAGCAGAAUCCGCUACCAAGUCCGCUGCCAAGCCCGCAGCCGAUGCCCCUGCCGAGCCCGCUGCGGAAGCGGCUACCAAGCCCGCAGAUGGCAAAUCUGGCUACAAGGCCGCCGCCGAUGCCGCGACCAAACCUGCUGCCGCAGGCGGCUACAAUCUGUGA
rnacentral:rRNA from 1 species